rnacentral:rRNA from 1 species
UACGUAGGGUGCAAGCGUUAAUCGGAAUACUGGGCGUAAAGCGUGCGCAGGCGGUUAUGUAAGACAGGUGUGAAAUCCCCGGCUUAACCUGGGAACUGCAUUUGUGACUGCAUAGCUAGAGUACGGUAGAGGGGGAUGGAAUUCCGCGUGUAGCAGUGAAAUGCGUAGAUAUGCGGAGGAACACCGAUGGCGAAGGCAUCCCCUGGACCUGUACUGACGCUCAUGCACGAAAGCGUGGGGAGCAAACAGG